UACGUAGGUGGCAAGCGUUGUCCGGAUUUAUUGGGUUUAAAGGGUGCGUAGGCGGCCCUGUAAGUCAGUGCUGAAAUAUCCCAGCUUAACUGGGAGGGUGGCAUUGAUACUGCGGGGCUAGAGUACAGAUGAGGUAGGCGGAAUUGACGGUGUAGCGGUGAAAUGCUUAGAUAUCGUCAAGAACACCUAUAGCGAAGGCAGAUUACUAGGCUGUAACUGACGCUGAGGAACGAAAGUGUGGGGAUCAAACAGG
rnacentral:rRNA from 1 species